AUGUAGGGAAUACGGGAAAUAGAAUAUCAGCGUGAUGAAUUCCCCUGAGCGGCGGAGCAUACUGGUCAUGGAUAUCGGUGUUCUCUACACAUGCAGGCUGAUGUUGACCAGUCGUUAGCCUACCGGAAGGCACCCGGCAUCACAUUCACACAGAUACGCAACAAACAAAAGUCCGUUAAGCAGUCUGGCCUUAUUUAUUUC
rnacentral:sRNA from 1 species